GCUGAUUUGGUGGUCUGGUUAGGUAUGUACCAGUGGGAUGUGGAGGUUUAGGGCUGAUUUGGUGGUCUGGUUAGGUAUGUACCAGUGGGAUGUGGAGGUUUAGGGCUGAUUUGGUGGUCUGGUUAGGUAUGUACCAGUGGGAUGUGGAGGUUUAGGGCUGAUUUGGUGGUCUGGUUAGGUAUGUACCAGUGGGAUAGGAGGUUUAGGGCUGAAGGCUG